rnacentral:rRNA from 1 species
AUUGAACGCUGGCGGCAUGCUUUACACAUGCAAGUCGAACGGUAACAGGGUGCUUGCACCGCUGACGAGUGGCGAACGGGUGAGUAAUGCAUCGGAAUGUACCGUGUAAUGGGGGAUAGCUCGGCGAAAGCCGGAUUAAUACCGCAUACGCCCUGAGGGGGAAAGUGGGGGACCGAAAGGCCUCCCGUUAUACGAGCAGCCGAUGUCUGAUUAGCUAGUUGGUGAGGUAAAGGCUCACCAAGGCGUCGAUCAGUAGCGGGUCUGAGAGGAUGAUCCGCCACACUGGGACUGAGACACGGCCCAGACUCCUACGGGAGGCAGCAGUGGGGAAUUUUGGACAAUGGGCGCAAGCCUGAUCCAGCCAUGCCGCGUGUCUGAAGAAGGCCUUCGGGUUGUAAAGGACUUUUGUCCGGGAGCAAAUCCUAGUGGUUAAUACCUACUGGGGCUGAGAGUACCGGAAGAAUAAGCACCGGCUAACUACGUG